CCCUUGUUGGUCUGGUGGCUAGGAUUCCUGGUUCCCAUCCAGGCUUUCCAGGUUCAAUUCCUGGGCAGGGAA
rnacentral:tRNA from 1 species